rnacentral:rRNA from 1 species
AGUGAACGCUGGCGGUAGGCCUAACACAUGCAAGUCGAACGGCAGCACAGUAAGAGCUUGCUCUUACGGGUGGCGAGUGGCGGACGGGUGAGGAAUACAUCGGAAUCUACUUUUUCGUGGGGGAUAACGUAGGGAAACUUACGCUAAUACCGCAUACGACCUACGGGUGAAAGCAGGGGAUCUUCGGACCUUGCGCGAUUGAAUGAGCCGAUGUCGGAUUAGCUAGUUGGCGGGGUAAAGGCCCACCAAGGCGACGAUCCGUAGCUGGUCUGAGAGGAUGAUCAGCCACACUGGAACUGAGACACGGUCCAGACUCCUACGGGAGGCAGCAGUGGGGAAUAUUAGACAAUGGGCGCAAGCCUGAUCCAGCCAUACCGCGUGGGUGAAGAAGGCCUUCGGGUUGUAGAGCCCUUUUGUUGGGAAAGAAAAGCAGCAGGUUAAUACCCCGCUGUUCUGACGGUACCCAAAGAAUAAGCACCGGCUAACUUCGUG